rnacentral:rRNA from 1 species
AUUGAACGCUGGCGGCAGGCCUAACACAUGCAAGUCGAGCGGAUGAAGGGAGCUUGCUCCUGGAUUCCGCGGCGGACGGGUGAGUAAUGCCUAGGAAUCUGCCUGGUAGUGGGGGAUAACGUCCGGAAACGGGCGCUAAUACCGCAUCCGUCCUGAUGUAGAAAGUGGGGGAUCUUCGGACCUCACGCUAUCAGAUGAGCCUAGGUCGGAUUAGCUAGUUGGUGGGGUAAAGGCCUACCAAGGCGACGAUCCGUAACUGGUCUGAGAGGAUGAUCAGUCACACUGGAACUGAGACACGGUCCAGACUCCUACGGGAGGCAGCAGUGGGGAAUAUUGGACAAUGGGCGAAAGCCUGAUCCAGCCAUGCCGCGUGUGUGAAGAAGGUCUUCGGAUUGUAAAGCACUUUAAGUUGGGAGGAAGGGCAGUAAGUUAAUACCUUGCUGUUUUGACGUUACCAACAGAAUAAGCACCGGCUAACUUCGUG